rnacentral:rRNA from 1 species
ACAGCAGUCGCCACGGGAAUACGGAGGGGGCUAGCGUUGUUCGGAAUUACUGGGCGUAAAGCGCACGUAGGCGGCUUGGUAAGUUAGAGGUGAAAGCCCGGAGCUCAACUCCGGAAUUGCCUUUAAGACUGCCGAGCUAGCAGGUGAGAGAGGUAAGUGGAAUUCCGAGUGUAGAGGUGAAAUUCGUAGAUAUUCGGAAGAACACCAGUGGCGAAGGCGGCUUACUGGCUCAUACUGGACGCUGAGGUGCGAAAGCGUGGGGAGCAAACAGGAUUAGAUACCCGUGUAGUCCCUGUCUCUUAUAC